AAUGGAGUUAAACCAAUGAAAAUCCACCUUUCAUCAUGACGCGGAAAUUACAUCAUUGUAUGUUUCUGUGAAUAGACGCUUGCAUGUAGGGGAAAUAACUGUUUUGUUUAUAAUUUCAUCGUCUUUUAUUCUUAUUUUCUUUUGAAGUUUAAGAAACCAGAUUGGAAAUUUUUAUUCAGAAAUGCAAUCCACACAUUUAAGCACCGUUUGUCUAACGUACCAGCCAGCUAUGGUAGCCUCCGCAGAUAGAUCAAAGACACAUAUACCCGGGCAAGUUAAAUAGAAGCACUUCCGGCGGUGGACAGUCGUAAAACAACACCUUAACUACUAAGAAGUGACAUCACGCCGAUAGCAAUAAGGCUACGUCUACUUGAUUUGACUUACAGUGUCACUUGACCUCCUUGUAAGGGGCUCCGAUAAGUACGCAGAAGCAGACGAUAAUAAUACAAAGGUUAUACUUAACAAUCAGAUUAAAAAAAUGCAUGGGACAUGUUAAAACAUAGCAAUA